rnacentral:rRNA from 1 species
GACGAAGGGGCUAGCGUUGUUCGGAAUUACUGGGCGUAAAGCGUGUGUAGGUGGUUGUCAUAGUCAGGCGUGAAAGCCUUGAGCUCAACUCAAGAAAUGCGCUUGAUACUGGGCAGCUAGAGGACCGGAGAGGAUAGUGGAAUUCCCAGUGUAGUGGUGAAAUACGUAGAGAUUGGGAAGAACACCCGUGGCGAAGGCGGUUCUCUGGGACGGUACUGACGGCUGAGACGCGAAAGCGUGGGGAGCGAACAGG